rnacentral:rRNA from 1 species
AUUGAACGCUGGCGGCAUGCCUUACACAUGCAAGUCGAACGGCAGCACGGGUGCUUGCACCUGGUGGCGAGUGGCGAACGGGUGAGUAAUACAUCGGAACGUACCUUAUCGUGGGGGAUAACGCAGCGAAAGUUGCGCUAAUACCGCAUACGAUCUAUGGAUGAAAGCGGGGGAUCGCAAGACCUCGCGCGAUUGGAGCGGCCGAUAUCAGAUUAGGUAGUUGGUGAGGUAAAGGCUCACCAAGCCGACGAUCUGUAGCUGGUCUGAGAGGACGACCAGCCACACUGGGACUGAGACACGGCCCAGACCCCUACGGGAGGCAGCAGUGGGGAAUUUUGGACAAUGGGCGCAAGCCUGAUCCAGCAAUGCCGCGUGCAGGAUGAAGGCCUUCGGGUUGUAAACUGCUUCUGUACGGAACGAAACGGCGAGCUCUAAUACAGUUUGCUAAUGACGGUACCGUAAGAAUAAGCACCGGCUAACUACGUGCCAGCCGCCGCCGUAA